AAAGAGUCGAUCGACAAAACCAGACGUGAUUGUGGCAAGUCUUAUAUAUGUAGAUAUAACCUACACAGAACUUACAUAAUCCCUCGUGGCGAAGUUUUCUUGCAAGCCAUAAAUUUAAAGGAAUCUGUGUUGAUCUGUGCUAGUGCCUAGUGAAAACAAUAAUCAACCAAGGUAUGCCUGCCGUGAGCUAGGAAAGUGACCAGUAUAAUUUAUGCGAAUUAAGUUUAUAGGACAGAGGUCAGGAGCCCUAUCUUUCUUAGCGGCCUAAGCGGCAGAUCGACAUCAAGCCGGAUGUUCCACAUUUUAGCCCAGUGUCCAGAGCUAGAACAUUGGGCGUGAUUUUGACGGACCUGACUACAGAGGAGCUACCGCCAAAAGCAGGACAGAUGUCCGGAGUUAUGCUGUGUUCAUUUGCAUAUUUUCUGGGACUAAGUUUAAUAUGCCAUUUUAAGGCCAAUUCUCUGGCAGUUACGUAUAUGUAUAUUCAAGUAUCGGGAAUCAUGAGUGUUUGUAGAAAAGAGUGGGUAUGAAAUAAUUCAUUGAAAUUAUCAAAUCGUACUUGCAGGUACACUCGUGUGCAUAUAUUGUUAAAACCUUAUAUUUUUCCUCAGAAACCAGCACCUACGUCAUCCUUGAGCUCAACGAUUACGAUAGGAGUAAAGGUAUUAGACCACCAAAACCAAAAGAAAACUGUGAGUUUGUGAUCUUAAAACAGUAUAUGCACAGAGCAUAAACGUAAACUACGAGUUACCAAUUGUAUGUUUGAACCUUUAUAAUCAUAACCGUAAUGGGUUGAUACCUCUCGCCCCCCUCUAUUCUAUUAACCACAUCUGAUUCUUAGUCCGUAUACUUACUGCCGCCACUAUAUUCAUAUAUAUAAACUCUUGAAUUCUUAAAUUCAUAAAAGCUAAAUUAAGUAUACAUUUUAAGUGGGCUAGAUCGCCGUAAUAUGAAUU
rnacentral:lncRNA from 1 species